GAGAAAUAUGUCUAUUUACAUACAUCAUGUUUGUUUAUGACCUUGUGGGACGAUAACUUGGAAUGCCCUGAGCAACAAAAACAUAAAACACUCUGAUGAGACAGCAUCUCAUCCUUGCACUGAAGGAUUUCAAAAGAGGGACAGAUCACCCAGAAUGGACAUGGUCAUAGAGGAAUUUCUCAUGGGGGUGGACAGGAUGUCAAGUGCUCCCUUGGCUAUUUCCCCUGUGGGAACAUCACAAAGUGCUUGCCUCAGCUCCUGCACUGUAACGGUGUGGACGACUGCGGGAAUCAGGCCGAUGAGGACAACUGUGGUGAGUGAAGCCCCUGCAGUCACGGUGAGAGAAAGGAGCAGAAAGGACUGAAGGUGAAGUCGCUGAGACUUCUCUCAACAAAAAGACAAAACUAAAUUGAAAUACAAAACAUAUGUUGCUUAAGGAAAUCUUACACUUAUUUCAGUAGCUUAAAAUAUCCACUCUUUUCUUUUCUUGUUUUUGUUUUUUUUUGAGACGGAGUCUCGCUCUGUUGCCAGUCUGGAGUGCAGUGGCGCGAUCUCGGCUCACUGCAACC
rnacentral:sRNA from 1 species